GUAUCUUUUACAGACAUCCACCAAGACGGUCAGGGAGGAAAUUCUAUGAUGUGUGGGAUUUUUUAUAAAAUCACGAGAGGAAGAGGAGAAGCAUGUAGGAGUAUACAUGUCACGUGAUCGGCCGUCAGAUAGCAAAUACCUGCAUCUGCUGCUGAGUAGGUGGAAGCUCACUACACUAGCCUCUUGUUCCAAAAAGCUCUAGAAUAGAAAGUUUGUCUAAAAAUCCACUUCAGGGAUUUGUAACAAGCAUUGAAUAAGAUCAUGUAUACAGAGUAUUUUCUCACCACGCCUUGCAGGUAGUCAGCACAUAAACAUAGUUUUUAGUUUUGUAUAGUCCCCGUCCAUGAAUCACACCCAGAAAAGGUAUGUUGUUCACACCAAGAGCUCUGGCCCGCGGACCUUUGUCCACUUGGUGGUAAUUCAUUGGACUCUGAGGUUUAGAAUGAGGAAAUACCAGCCUUCAAAGCCCCAGGCCUGCUAUGAAAUAGCAAAGCCAAUGGUCCCAGAUGCCUUCAUAGCACACCUAGUAAGUAGGACACUUUUCACUCACCUUGUGGGCACACUUGAGUCCAUGCACUCAUUUUUCAUUCAUUUCUUAUAUGCCGUGUAUUGGGUACUCGGGAUCCAUAAUACAGUGGACCCACAAUUGACUGGAAGCAUCGCUUUCAAAGCAUCAUUUCAGGAUGAGUAUUUUGUGUCAAGUGGAUUCAAGGAACAGUGCGAAGGAUCCAUGGCCUCAGUCACCAUGAAGAGCCUCCCAAGAGCCAACCUUCCUGGGCACAUGUAAGUGAGUGGAGACAUGGAACUCACCCUUACAAGGCCUAGAACCUGACAGAUCAUACAAGACAGAAGCCCAGAUAACUAAGAAGGGGAUGCUGAAGGUGAGAGGUGGGCCCCAAAGGAUUCUGUGAAAAUGCUUUGUGUUUGUGGAUUUCUCACGCAGAAUGAAACCUUUGUUUUUAUUCACAGGUUAGACACACUCUCUAUAUAGAAUCUAUGAAGGGACAUUGCUGAAUUUUUUGAGGCCUAUAGUGAAAAAUGGAUUAUCUCAGGCAGCUCAGGAUGAAUAAUGCAGUCACCAAGAGGGGCAGGGUGGCCACAGGUGGCCAGCAGCAGGAAUGGGCAUUGUGAGCCAUUGGAUGGGGUUGUGAGAAGUGGCAUUGUGAGUCACUGGCCUGACUUUGUUGUUUCCUGGCAAUCAGGUGACAUAGGAGGCUUUGUGGGGGACAGGCAUCAGCCAGGACCAGCAGCCUUCAGUCGGAAGCUGGUAGUGGGAGGAGGAGGAGCUCCAACUACUCUCACGGAAGUGUUUGUGCCCUUGGCUCUUGCUCUGUUGGUUUUUUUCUUUGAUUUAUUUUAUUUUGUCUGUUUCUUCUUUUGUGUGUGUGUGUGUGUGUGUGUGUGUGUUGCUUUGUUUUGUUUUCUUCUUUUUUCUUUUUAGAUUUUGUGUGUUGCUUUGUUUUGAAAGUCCCCUUGUAGAUCACCCAUGGGGAAUUGCCUAGGCCCCAGCGCUGGCGUCAGUUGUGCCUGCUGCGAGCCUUGUGGCCAGUCUGUGGCACCUAUAGAAAGAGCAUCUACCACUGCAGAGACUUCUGUGUUACAUCCCAGAGUGAUGGAGGUCCAACACGUGCAGUCCAUCAAGGCAAAGAGGCACAAAGAUAAAGAAGCCACGGGCACCAUUUGCUCUCUUGCACAUCUCUGGCCACCACCUCCUUUUCAUCCCCUCACCCCAGAGACAUCUUCAGCUUCCAGCUCCCUCCUGCCUAUAGUCAGCUUUCCCGGGGCUGGGCAUGGGGGACAAAGGCUAGUCCUGCCUCUUGUCUUCGUUGUUGAGCCUUCUUGCUUGAGGCCUUUUUGGUCUAGUCUUUCCCUUUCCCUGGUGAAAAUUCAGAUACUCCAGUUUUGGAGUCUCCAUCCCAUUCUCUAGCCUUGGCUGUCCAGCUACUAUGGCAUCUCAGUGAAGGAGCCGGUUAAAGGCCCAAUGAUUUCUUUUCUCCUAUUCGAUAGAGAAGCUAAUAAUUGAGAUAAUUCAGACUCAAAUAUUUGGAGACUUGUUAAAUUUGAAAUAGAGUUUGCCAUGGAAGAGAUUAUAUGGUGUUCUUAAUAGAUGGUUUGAAGUCACCUUGACAGCAGCAGCUUUGUCUUCCAAUUGUAAUUUGAAAACCGAAGGAAAAAUUGAGGGACGUGCUUAAAAUGACUGCAAAAGGUAUGAAAUGUUACUGCCUGAGCUGUAAAAAAGCUGUUUUUGUUGUGGUUUUACCCAAAAGUGUAGCCGUGGAGCUCUGAUUACUUCAACAUUCCCACUUUGACAUGAACGUCUCUUCAGCCCUACUCCAGUAACUUCACGGGCUUAGUUUACCUCCUUGUUCUGAAAGACAGGUAGAGCUAGCUCAUGGUUACAGGUUCCAAAAGAGAUGAAAUGACUUUAGACUUGAAUUUGGAAGGUAAAGACUUGGAGUUAGAAGGCCAGACCCUGCCUGUGGAAAAGAGUUUGUUUUCAUGGCUCCCCUUCCUACAGGAUGGAAAAGGGGAGGAGAGAGGAAACAUUUCAUGUUUUUGCUUAUGGUCAAAUUGAAGACAAAAACUAACACUUGUAAGACAGGAGAGGAGCAUUUAGGUACAAAAUCAGUCAAACAUUUGUGUAUCACUACAUUCAUUGAGCAAAUGGAAGCUACCAGACUCAGAAAAGCAGAGAUGCUAAUGGAACUGACAUUAGUAACCAGGGAAUUCUACUGAGUUCAGUGCUCAGGGUGACUUUUAAUAACACCCACCCUCCCCUCCACACACACACUUUUCUCAGGACUGGAAAGCUCAGGCAGCCCAGGAUGAAUAAUGCAGUCACACAGAGGGGAAGAAGCAGGGAUCGGCAUUCGUUCGUCAGUUUCUGAUUGUUGUAUGUACCCUGAAGCAGCUCACCUGCUGAGGAGCAAACUUGCUGAUUUUAAUAUAUAGAAACCUGAUCCUGGGUUCCAGUUAAAGAACAUGGGGGUCUAGUGAGAGCAGGUAAUUUUGCAAGUGUAUAACUCUGAUCAGAGGGGCCGUAUGAAUGCAUGUGAACCCUGAGGACCAGCCGGGGGAUGUUGUGUGAGCCGACGUGGCUUCAGCUGGAGUAGAAGUGAGUGCACCUCUCUCUGACUGACUCUGAUGUUGGUGGUUCUGAAGAGUGGACUCUGGAAAAUCGCAACAGUGAAGAAGACACCUUUUCAGUGUCUUCAAAUGACCAGGCAAGAGGACAGUCGGACUCAGAUCCUGGGACGAGGAAGAAGACCUGGAAAAGGAAGGGCUCUAUAGAACGUCUCAGGAAAGGGUGACAAGUAAGCACCAUGAAGUAACUCUCAUCGUGGGUGACCAACCUGCCACUUGAGUGUAUAGAAACCUGAUUCAGGGAUCCCGCUGGGAAGGAGGAUUGGGGGUCUCCUGAGAGAGUGAUUUAGCCAAUAUAGAACUCCAGCCAGAGAGGCUGUAGGAAGGUUUAUCAACUCAGAACAAAGACCAGGGAAUGAUGUGUGAGGCCGCGUGGCUUCAGCUGGAGGAAGAGGAGUGGGUGAGUCACUAUUCCUAAUGACUUGUCCAGUAAUCGUUUCUAAAGGCUGGAUUCUUAGAGCAUCUUCAGAAUGAAUGAAGAAGAACCCCAAGGCAAAGAUCAGAGAUUAGAAGGGGAGGCCUGGUCUGUGGUUUCUCCUGGCCAGUUACAGCACAUGGACAAUGAGAAAGCGAGACUUCACGAUCUAGGAAGCUGAAGCAGUAACUUCCGCUAUACAGCUCAGACCACAGUCACAGCUCUCUCAAGGCUCAAGUGUCUGGGGGUUCCCAACAGCGUUUACAUUUUAUCUACUUUCACAAUAGCACGUUACACAGCGGCAUAAUGUGUCUCAGGUCUGUGUCCCUGGUCUUGCCUACUUGUGAUAUCACAUGUUACAGUGUCACAGUUGAGUCUGGCUCUUGUGUGAUUUGCCAGUCCUGACCACAGGCAGUAAGAAAGGCUUUCCUUGGCAGGGCUGAUGGGAGACACCUCCCCCCACACCAGGCGUGGUGCACGGCCAGUGCAUAGGCAGGCCCUGGCUGAGCACAAAAGCCACAUGCGUGGCCUGCAGGAUGGUCUCUAGGCUUGUUGACUGAGUGGCCACGCAGCAGUGGCUGCCUUUUAAUAGAUCUUACGCAAUGAGCUGAGCAAGGUCCUCGGGUGAGGUGUGAGCUCCUGAGAAUACUUGAGCAAGUGGAUCAGAACUGGGGUAUCGGUGCCUCCUCUUUGUUCACUAGAGCUUUCUCUCCAGCAAGCUCAGAGACUGCUCGCUCAUCAACCUCCAUGGUCCUGUGGCGGCUGAUUUUAUGUCGGCCAUCCUGGCUGGCCAUGGCAUGCCCGGAUUGCACACUGUUCCACGUGUGUCCGUGAGGGCAUUUCCAGGUGCAUUUGGCAUGUGAGGCAGUGGGCAAGGCACACAGCCUCCCCAGUGUGACGGGCAUCACCCAAUCCACUGAGGGACUGAGUGGAACAAAGGCUGGGGAAGGAGAACUCACUUCCCUUUUCCCCGUGUCACUGCUGGAGCUGGACAUCUCAUUUUCCCGUGCCCUCAGACUGCCAUUUCCACAUCCGCCCCUCUGGUUCUCAGGCCUGGGGAGGGAGGUGUGAAGGUGCCGGAUGGACAGACACCAGUCAGAGCAGCACGGGCCUCAGCGGGGGUCUAGGGCCUCCAGACCUCUGGUCAUGCCCAAGAAACAGCAAGGGAGAUGGGAUCUUUAUUUGUAUUUCUUAUUAUUUUUUUGAGACAGAGUUUCGCUUGUCACCCAGGCUGGAGUGCAAUGGCACGAUCUCUGCUCACUGCAACCCCCACCCCCUGAAUUCAAGCAAUUCUCCUGCCUCAGCCUCCUGAGUAGCUGGGACUACAGGUGCACGCCACCAUGCCUGGCUAAUUUUUGUAUUUUUAGCAGAGACAGGUUUUU